GGGAGGUGUAGGGGACAGUGGAGACGUGCCAAGUCGGUGGGCCUGCACGACCCCUGCAGCAGCCGCCACGAGGGGUUCCGACGCUCAGCUUUCUUGGCCGGGCCCGACUGGGAGUUGCUGGAUGCCCCCGUGAGCAGCUAAGAUGGUCCCUGCGAGUCAGUGCUUUACUCAUGAAGGUCGGAGACGCAAGGGAGCAGCACGUUGUCCAGCCCCUUUCUCAUGCAGAUGGGGAAACUGAGGCCCAGAGUGAGUCAGUUCUCCUGAUUCUACGUGCUUGCCAAAUUACUCUUUACUUAAACGUUUCAAACAGACUUUUCAAAUGUCUUGUCCUGUGUCGUCGGCUGCACACCAUGUUAAGCCUGCUGGCCUUGGGCCUGCCACGCCCCUGGCCCUGUGCAUACAGGGCCUGCAGCACUGAACAAGACUCCAACAGCCGGCCAGUUUGUUCAGACAGGAAGUGGCAGACGGAUCCAGGAGGGAAGAAAAGUCAUUUAAGGACACUCAGAACGUGGAUGCACAGGAUGGCGAGAGAUGCUCCUAAAGAAAGCUAUCAGUACCAGAAUCCAAGAAACAGAAAAAAUCUGUGUCGUUUUGGAAGUCUUCCCCAUCUCUGCAAGGUAAUUUCUUCUGACUGAUCUUUCAGUUCACUAAUUCUCUAUCUUCCGGUAUUGAGCUCUCCCCGCUGCCGUCUCUGUCGCGUCCCCUGCUCUCUGUUGCUUCCCAG
rnacentral:lncRNA from 1 species